CUGAACCUUCCUGCACUGUUGUAAGCAACCUCGGCAUCAGCACCUUUCCUAUAAACUACUCUAGCCCGGUUAUUUUCCUUGUCAACUUCAGUUUGCGACUCCUUUAUUGGUCCAAAAUGCCUAAACAUUUUACUCAGGCUCUUCUCAGCAGGUAUAGUAUCCACUUCAGAAAACUUCAUUACAAGUUCAGCUGGUGCAUUCUCAUCAAAGUUUGCCGGUUUGUCUGAGACUGAAAGAGGAAUAUUGAUCUGAGUCUGUCGUCUUCUGUAAGGUCGACGAGUCUUUUGAACCUGAGCAGGUUUCAACUCAACUGGCACAACUUGAUAAUUUCCUUUCUCAGUCGGUGACGUUUGCUCUUCACCACCAUUAUGAAUCACUCUGUCUGUCCAGUAUGUGUCGCCCAUUUCCUCAAACUCAAAUGCUUCAGUUUCUGUCACAUUAGAAUUGGAUGGUCUACCUCUUUUCUUGCUUACCUUUUCUAGGGUACCUUGCUGCAAAGCCGACGAGUUUCGGAAAUCUAAGAAAAAGCCAGCAGCAGUGUGAGAUAAAACGUUCUCUUUAUCAGGGUCUGUUGCUGCAUAGUGAAGCUGGGACACAAAACUCUCAACAGAAAGAGUGUCACCAUCAAAGUUACUACCCUUCAAAACUGAAGGCGAUUCUGCCAUCUGACUAGCAACUCUGGCUAUGCAUGCACCAAUCUUAAAGGAGGGCCUUUGUGCAAAAGACACCUUUGCCAAUGAGACAGUCUUCCUACCUUCUCCUGGUAAAUCCUCACUCAGGACAUCAGCCUUUCGUUUCACACCAUUCGCCUUAAUAUCAGAACCAGCUUCAUCCGUCCAGUAUGUGUUGCCCAUUUCCUCAAACUCGAAUGCUUCAGUUCCCGUUACAUUAGAAUUACUGGGAUCUUCUUCCAUAUCUGUAUCUUCCUUUUGAUUUGGCUCGAUACUUCGGGCUUCAUGAGUAAUGUCCUCUUCCUCUCUCGUUGUAUAUUCUUGAUCUGCUGUUUUCUUAUCGAAGCAUUCAUGAUCUUUGUUUUCAUGAUUUUCUUCAGAUCCCAAAAUUGCAUGAGAGGCCUCUUUUGAACAAUCGAUGGCAGCAGGUGGAGAUUUUUCUCCAGAAGCAACACAUGCUCCACUCGAUCCAUUUUCAAUACCAACCAAGGCAUCUUCCUCUGCCAUAUCAGCAGCUUUCUUAUCCUCUUUCAAAGAAAUAUUCCUGGUGUCGGUUUUAAUGUCUUGUAUAUUUCCUGACCAAGAUGAUACACCACUGAAAUCAAUAAAGUUGGUAAUAUCAGAAGUUGGAUCAAAAAGAGCAUGAUGAUCCAACGGUUCAACUUCACCUGGAUCAGCAUUUUCAGAGGGACUGUUUGGGUUUGCUAAAUCAGUAGAAAUAAUUGUUCCGGUAAGAUCACUUGCCGCAUCACCAUUAUCUUUCCGUUCGUCAAUUUCCAUUUCCUCUCGUACAUUUGAAGUAUUCACAUUAGCGUCAGCUACUGGAAUAUCUUUAACAUCAUCUUCCACCUGUUCCUCUGUCGCAUUAUCAACCUCCAUGGCUUCUCCGUUUUCUUCAUUUUGGUUCACAUUGGUUAUUUGUCCUUCAUCAUUUAUUUCAGCAGCAGAGCUAACUUCCAAAACAGUACCUGGAUUUACUUCGUUUGUUUCCCUUUCACUCAAUUGAAUAGACUCCUCUAGAACUAUAGCAUCUUUGGUCUCUGAUCCCACAUUCUCUUCAUUCCCCUGUUUGCUAUCAUCAUCCAUAUUAUUAUCAUCCACUUCACUCUUCUUUGCUGAUUCCUUCUCUUGAAUAACAUCAGAUGUCUCGCAUAGUUUCUCUUGUUCGCCAUCACCACCCAUUCCUUUAUCAUCCUCCUUCUCUUGGCCAGCUUUCGUUUCAGCAAUAUCCUCAACUUCACAAUUUUCCUUCUCAUCAGAUACUUCAUUCCCACCAGAGAUAACACUUUCCCCUUCUCCUGCACUUUCCUGACUUUCACCAUGGUUAACUUCAGACUUAGGCGUCUCACCAUUUCUCUCAACUUCAAGAUCUGUGGUAGCAUCAGUCAGUGCAACAUCAUCAACAACAUUAUCUUUAGGUUCCUCACCAGUAACCUCAACAACAUCAUCAUCUUCAACGUUAUGUUUAAUCUCCUCCCCACUAACCUCAACAUCAUCAUCAGCUUUCACAUGUUCCUCAUCAGAAACAAAAUGAUCCAUAUUGCCAUCUCCAGUAGCUAAAACUCCAUUAGUUGGAUCUGCAUCAAUCCCACUAACACCUAAUUCCGAAACCUGUACCGUGUUUGUAAACUCACCACCUAGGGUUUCAGUUUUAGAAGGUAAACCUAAUCCCUUACCAGCUUCCUCCUCCAUGGGCUCAUUGAAAAACUCACUCUCCUCUCUCUGUUCCUCCAUUAAAACUGUAUCCGGGUUGCAGCUCAAAAUCACUCAAUACAUCGAUGGAUCUUACACAAACGAAAUUACGAAACUUGGCAACUGGGUAAGACAAGUUCCAGAAUCAAAAACGAGAAAGACGAUUUUUUUGGAAUUUACCUCUAAGAUCUUGCGAGAAUUUGAGUAAAGAAACACAAAAGGGAAGAGCUUUGAGCUUGAAGAAGCGAAUUGUAGAAGAUGCUCUAGGAGAGAGAAAACAUACGAUCUCGUUUAAUCGAACUUUUAUUUCUGACACAGUCCCCAAUCUUUUAUCAAGUUUUAUAUUUAAGAUCAAAAGUUUCGAAAUGUACUAAAAUAACCUUUUUAAUUUGCCGUAAUUGUGCACUUUGAAUUUAAAAGGUGCUAAAAUAACCUUUCAUUAUAAAAAUUUAACGAACAAUUAAAACUGACUGUAAUUAGAACUUAUACAUAUACCACCUCUAUGUAUUACAUUCACAAAUAAUUAAGUUAACUAUUCUAUUUGAAGUAAUGUUUAUUUCUGAAAAUUCUUUUAUUAAUGGUUUUAACUUUUAACUAAAUACAUGAUGUAUUAACACUUAUAUACUAAAUUAGAGUUUGAAUCCCACUGAACUUGCUUACCAAAAUGUCGCAUAUAGAGUUGUUUGUAGUGUUUUCGUGAGUUGUAGAGAGAGCAUGUCCAUUAUGGGAUCUACAAACAUUUUUUUGUUGGGGGCAAAAAUUGAUUAAUUUUUGGAAAAAAUCAUAUUUUUCUAUGAGAACUAUCGAAUUGUAUCAGAGUCAAUGUCUUAUACAACUAUGAAAAAUUAUUUCUCAACCUAUAUUCACAUGAAUGCAUAGUUUAAUGUUUGAUUAACCAAAAAAUGGAAAAAAAUAACCUCAUUAAAUCUGAUUUUAAUCCAAAUAAAAGCCGGCCUGAUUUGUAAAUGACCUAACUCGAUAUCUUCUUCUGUAAGUGGAGUCGCGAGAUCAGUGAUUAUCGUUAAAGGUUGUAUAUAGUUUAAGAUCAUAGAGAAGAAGAUGGAGGAAGAAGAAGGGUGGAUUAAUCACUCAAUGAUUUUUCUCUCUUUUUAUUAUUUAGGUUCUUGAAGUUUUGAUAUGGGCUCAAAAUUGUGAUAUGGAUUCAUUUUGCUACAUUUUGAAAGUUUGGAGAAAGUGGCGAGAGAGAUUAUCAAUGACAGUUCACUUAAGCACGUGAUAAUAUCUUUGCUAUGUUUCUGCUUUUGUAAUUUUAAAUUUUCAUCAAAUUUGAUUUUUGUUUUCUUUUUUCUUGAGAAAUUGGAUGGAGAAUGAAUAGAUAUUGGCUCGGAUCAUUUAUGAAUUGGAUCGGUUUUAAAUUUGGUUUGGUAUCAAUGUUAAGCAGCUUGGUAUUUGGUUUAGUUUGUAAACCGACUAAACCAAGAUCUAUGAGGAAUUAGGUGGAAACUAUGCAUUCGUGGGGAACUAGGUUUGAAGAAAUUUUUUCUGAGAACAUAUAAGACGUGGUGUGAGCUCUAUAAAAUAUGAUGUCAUAGUUUGGGUGAGGAAAUAGGACAUUAUCCUUUAAAUUUUAGAUAUUAGAGCAAGCAGGAAAAAUGUAAACCAUAUUUUUUAUUUACAUUGAGAAAUGAAGGUUUAUUAAUUUUUGAUGAGGGCGCUUGCACGGUUGUAAUGCACCGAACCAAAACCGAGCCUAAAAAAACGGAACCGAAACCAAAUCAAAAAUUUUUAAAGACCAAAUGGAUCUUAUACUCAAGAUCCGAAAGUAUCCAAAACCAAAUUAUACCGAACUGAAACCGAAUGGAUAUCCGAAAUAUUUAAAAUACAAUUUAUAUACUUAAAAUAUUUGUUUUUUAGACAAAAAAAACUUUUAAAAAAAUAUAUAAAAAGAAACAAAGAUAACCGAUAGUCAAACCAAACAACUAAAAAACAUUCAAAAUAUGCAAAUAUCCGAAACAAAGCAGCACCUAAAAAUAUAAAAAUACUCAAAAAUAUCCCAAAAUUUCUGAAUAUCAUAACAUAUCCAAUUUUUUUUGGUUAAAACCAAACCAAAAAUAAUCCAAAAAUAUUAAAUAAUUAGAUCAGUUUUUUGUUCAAGAUCUGAAACCGAACCGAAAUCGAAAGUAACCGAAUCAAAACCAAACUGAAUAUCUGAACGCCCAGGACUAGUUGCACCCAUACCUCAAGCUAUAGGUCUGUCCUAAUGGGGAUGUCGUACAAGCAGAACUUUCUAUUGUAGUAGAUUUGAGUGUCGCAUUGAAAUCUGCACCUUAAGAUUCAUUGUUUUGUGAGAACUGUUCAUAACAAUCAUCAUAAUAUAUCAAAACAUCUCUAAUGUUUAAUUACAUCUACAUGUUUACUUAACUUGUGAUUGGAAUUAUAUAGCUCAAUAAAUGUGAAUAUGGUCAACAAUAAUUGUAGUUUAUAGUUAAUUGCUUGUGAGUGUGAUCGACUAUAUAUAGAUUUGUGAAUGUAAUCAAAUAUUAGUACGUAGUAUCCUAUCAACUUUUCAUAUGAUAUAUACUAGUUCUAGUUAAUAACAUGUUAGCGUGGAGUAAGAGAGCUUUAUAAAUCUUCUCGACUUCAAAAAUAAUCCAUAUUUUAGCUACAUGCCAUUAGAUAUCUUGAAGAAACUCUAAUAUAAUUUCAUGUUUCAGCUUUGAGAAUCGGACACUAAGAAAUUGAUCGAUCCGUAUAAAGAUUUGAUCGAACUACGGUAUUGGCAAAAUCAUUAAACUUCUAUCGAUCUCUUAGAAUACAAAAAGGGAACUGUCUCUCUAACCUCCAAGAUAGCAGAUAGAAUUCUUGAACUUGCAUGAUCUCCCCUAAAACCUUAAUCUCUACCUAAAGGAUAACAACAACAACAACAAGAAGAAGCAAGAGCAUCCAAUCUAUUGAGCUACGUCGUCAUCGUGUACUUCUCUUGAUGCAUGCCGAUUCUUUCACCUGAAAUACAAGAUCAACCAUUCUGUCUGAAUCCAAAUUCAAUUUAGGACUCCUUGAAGAAUCCAUAAAAACAAGAAGUAAAGAUAUUAUGCAUAUGUCUCUUCUUAGACUACCUACACUGAAAAAUCUACACCUAUGUUAUUAUUACUACCAUCCAUAAUAAAAGGAGAAGAAAGAAUAUACUAUACAUUCAGAGAUACAGCACACCAGCUUUCAAAUCAGUAAGGCUUUAUUUUAUAGUUAAAGCAUUUGGAUAACAAAAGAAGCAGAUUUACCUGAACUAUGCCUGAAGCGACUACAUCUAGGAUGGGAGACAUAGUGCUGCAUCCUCCUCGCCUGAAGACACAACAUUAGGCCGAUCAUUUAAUGUUUCAGUUAUCGUAUAGCUGAGCUCGUAAUUCACAGCUUUCGUCCCAAAUAUACUGAACCUUCCUGCGCUGUUGUAAGCAACCUCGGCAUCAGCACCCUUCCUAUAAACUACUCUAGCCCGUUUAUUUUCCUUGUCAACUUCAGUUUGCGACUCCUUUAUUGGUCCAAAACGCUUAAACAUUUUACUCAGGCUCUUCUCAGGAGGUAUAGUAUCCACUUCAGAAAACUUCAUUACAAGUUCAGCUGGUGCAUUCUCAUCAAAGUUUGCCGGUUUGCCAGAGACUGAAAGAGGAAUAUUGAUCUGAGUCUGUCGUCUUCUGUAAGGCCGACGAGUCCUUUGAACCUGAGCAGGUUUUAACUCAACUGGCACAACUUGAUAAUUUCCUUUUUCAGUCGGUGAUGUUUGCUCUUCACCACCAUUAUGGAUCACUCUGUCCGUCCAGUAUGUGUCGCCCAUUUCCUCAACCUUGUAUGCUUCAGUUCCUGUUACAGUAGAACUAUUGGGAUCUUCUUCCAUUUCUGUAUCUUCCUUUUGGUUUGGAUUGAUACUUUGGGCUUCAUGAGUAAUGUCCUCUUCCUCUCUCAUUGUAUCUUUUUGAUCUGCUGUUUCCUUAUCAUGAUCUUUAUUUUCUUGAUUUUCUUCAGAUACCAAAAUUGUAUCAGAGGCCUCUUUUGAACAAUAGAUAGCAGCAGCUGGAGAGUUUGCUCCACUCGAUCCAUUUUCAAUACCCACCAAGGCAUCUUCCUCUGUCAUAUCAGCAGCUUUCUUAUCCUCUUUCGAAGAUAUAUUCCUCGUGUCGGUUUUAAGGUCUUGUAUAUUUCCUGACCAAGAUGAUACACCACUGAAAUCAAUAAAGUUGGUAAUAUCAGAAGUUGGAUCAAAAAGAGCAUGAUGAUCCAACGGUUCAACUUCACCUGGAUCAGCAUUUUCAGAGGGACUGUUUGGGUUUGCUAAAUCAGUAGACACAAUUGUUCCGGUAAGAUCACUUGCCGCAUCAGCAUUAUCUUUCCGUUCGCUAAUUUCCAUUUCCUCUAGUUCAUUCACGUCAGCUUCAGCUACUGGAAUAUCUUUAACAUCAUCUUCCACUUGUUCCUCUGCCUCAUUAUCAAUCUCCAUGGCUUCUCCAUUUUCUUCAUUUUGGUUAACUUCCGAAACAGUACCUGGAAUUACUUCGUUUGUUUCCCUUUCGCUUAAUUGAUUAAACUCCUCUGGAACUAUAGCAUCUCCGGUCUCUGAUCCCACAUUCUCCUCAUUUCCCUGUUUGCUAUCAUCUUCCAUAUUCUUAUCAUCCAUUUCACUCUUCUUUGGUGAUUCCUCAGCCUUGUUCUCGUAAUCACCAUUAUUCUCAUAAGUUACAUUUUCCCCUUCUCCUGCACUUUCAUGACUUUCACUAUGGUUACUCUUAACUUCAGACUUAGCCGUCUCACCUUUUCUCUCAACUUCAAGAUCCGUAGUAGCAUCAGUCAGUGCAACAUCAACGUUAUCUUUAGUCUCCUCACCACUAACCUCAACAUCAUUAUCAACGUUAUCUCUAGUCUCCUCACCACUAACCUCAACAACAUCAUCAUCAUCAUCAACGUUAUCUUCUGUCUCCUCAACAUCAUCAGCUUUCACAUGUUCCUGAUCAGAAACCAAAUUAUCCGUAUUGCCAUCUCCAUUAUUUGGAUCUGCUUCAAUCCCACUAACACCGGAAACACCUGAAUCCGAAACCUGUACCGUGUUUGUAUCCUCACCACCUAGGGUUUCAGUUUCAGAAGAUAAACCAAAUCCCUUACCAGCUUCCUCCUCCAUGGGUUCAUUGCAAAACUCACUCUCCUCUCUCUGUUCCUCCAUUAAAAGAGUAUCUAGGUUGCAGCUCAAAAUCACUCAGUACAUCGAUGGAUCUUACACUAACAAAAAUGCGAAACUUGGCAACUGGGUAUGGAAAGUUUCAGAUUUGCAAGAACCAAGAACGAGAAAGAUGAAAUUUUUAGGAAUUUACCUCUAAGAUCUUGCGAGAAUUUGGAGUAAGGAAACACAAACAAAACGGUAGGGCUUUGAGGUUGAAGAAGCGAAGUGAGAUAUUUACUUACGAUCCCGUUUAAUCGAAUUAGCUUACUUAUAUAUUUCUGAGACAUAACCCUGAAGUUUUAUCAAUUUCUGAGACAUAACCCUGAAGUUUUAUUAUGUUUUGUUUUUAAUAUCAAAACUUUUGAAAUAUGAUUAUAUAACCUUUUGUAAUUAUCCGUAAUUGUGCACUUUGAGUUUUAAAGGUGCUAAUAAAAAACCUUUCAUAAAAAAAAAUAUACAAUUUUUCGUAAUGGUGAAAAUUGAAAACAUUUUUAAAAUAAAACAAUCUCUUAUUAUUGAUACAUAAAAGAUUAUGAGCUAGUCAUGAUCCUUUUAUCAUUCCCACGAAUUUCUCAAGUGAAUUCUGUUACCACGUGAUAUAUAUAUCCAUUUGCUUGCUUGUCUACUUCCCCGUUUCGGAUUCCAUGGCCCUGAGAAGUCUAAGGCGCAGGGAUGAAGAGGAUACGGAUGUGACCGAAGAAUGCAGUGGUGCUCUGUUACUUGCAACAAACAUUUUUCAAACCGAUGACCAUCAAUGUCCUAACAUCAAUUGGUAUAGUAACAGCAAACUAAAUGUGUUGAGUCAUCAGAUUACAAAAAGGGAAUUGUCUCUCUAACCUCCAAGAUAACAGAUUACUUGAAGGAUUCUGGAACUUUUACAUAAUUUCUCAUAUUACACAGCCUAAAUCUCUACCUUAAGGAUAACAACAACAACAACAACAACAACAACAAGCAAUCAAGAGCAUCCAAUCCAUUGAGCUAUGUCAUCGUUUACUUCUCUUGAUUCUUUCACCUGAAAUACACGAUCAACCAUUCUGUUUGAAUCCAAAUUCAAUUUAGGACCCUUUGAAGAAUCCAUAAAAUACCGAUUGGGAAAAAACAACACAAUAAGCAAAGAUAUUAUGCAUAUGUCUCUUCUCAUUCUACCUACAAGGAAAAUUCUACACCUACGAUAAUACAACCAUCCAUUCAGAGAUACAGAACACCAGCUUUCAAAUCAGUAUGCUUUAUUUUAUAGUUUAAGCAUUCGGACAACAAAAGAAGCAUAUUUACCUGAACAAUGUCUGAACUCUGAAGCGACUACAUUGAAGAUGGAAGACAUAGUGUUGCAUCCUCCUCGCCUAAAGACACAACAUAAGGCCGAACUUUGAAAGUUUCAGUUAUCGUAUAGCUGAGCUCGUAAUUCACCGCUUUCGUCCCAAAAACACUGAACCUUCCUGCACUGUUGUAAGCAACCUCGGCAUCAGCACCCUUCCUAUAAACUACUCUAGCCCGGUUAUUUUCCUUGUCAACUUCAGUUUGCGACUCCUUUAUUGGUCCAAAAUGCCUAAACAUUUUACUCAGGGUCUUCUCAGUAGGUAUAGUAUCCUCUUCACAAAACUUCAUUACAAGUUCAGCUGGUGCAUUCUCAUCAAAAUUUGGUGGUUUUUCUGAGACUGAAAGAGGAAUAUUGAUCUGAGUCUGUCGUCUUCUGUAAGGUCGACGAGUCCUCUGAACCUGAGUAGGUUUCAACUCAACUGGCACAAUUUGAUACUUUCCUUUUUCAGUUGGUGAUGUUUGUUCUUCGCCACCAUUAUGGAUCACUCUGUCCGUCCAGUAUGUAUCGCCCAUUUCCUCAAACUCGAAUGCUUCAGUUCCUGUUGCAUUAGAACUGGACAGUCUAGCUCUUUUCUUGCUUACCUUUUCUGGGGUACCUUGCUGCAAAGCUGAGGAGUUUCGGAAAUCUAAGAAAAAGCCAGCAGCAAUGUCUGAUACAACGUUCUCUUUAUCAGGGUCUGUUGCUGCACAGUGAAGCUGGGACACAAAACUCUCAACAGAAAGAGUUUCACCAUCAAAGUUACUACCCUUCAAAACUGAAGGCGAUUCUGCCAUCUGACUAGCAACUCUGGCUAUGCAUGCACCAAUCUUAAAGGAGGGCCUUUGUGCAAAAGACACCUUUGCCAAUGAGACAGUCUUCCUACCUUCUCCUGGUGAAUCCUCACUCAGGACAUCAGCCUUUCGUUUCACACCAUUGGUCUUAAUAUCAGAACCAGCUUCAUCCGUCCAGUAUGUGUCGCCCAUUUCCUCAAACUCAGAUGCUUCAGUUCCGGUUACAAUAGAAUUAUUGGGAUCUUUUUCCAUUUCUGUAUCUUCAUUUUGGUUUGGAUCGACACUUUGGGCUUCAUGAGUAAUGUCCUCUUCCAUUCUCAUUGUAACUUUUUGAUCUAAGCAUUCAUGAUCUUUACUUUCUUGAUUUUCUUCAGAUCCCAAAAUUGCAUCAGCUGGAGAUUUUGCUCCAGAAGCAACACGUGCUUCACUCGAUCCAUUUUCGAUACCCACCGAGGCAACUUCCUCUGCCAUAUCAGCAGCUUUCUUAUUCUCUUUCGAAGAUAUAUUACUGGUGUCGGUUUUAAUGUCUUGUAUAUUUCCUGACCAAGAUGAUACACCACUGAAAUCAAUAAAGUUGGUAAUAUCAGAAGUUGGAUCAAAAAGAGCAUGAUGAUCCAACGGUUCAACUUCACCUGGAUCAGCAUUUUCAGAGGGACUGUUUGGGUUUGCUAAAUCAGUAGAAACAAUUGUUCCGGUAAGAUCACUUGCCGCAUCAGCAUUAUCUUUCCGUUCGUCAAUUUCCAUUUCCUCUCGUACAUUUGAAGUAUUCACGUCAGCUUCAGCUACUGGAAUAUCUUUAACAUCAUCUUCCACCUGUUCCUCUGUCGCAUUAUCAACCUCCAUGGCUUCUCCGUUUUCUUCAUUUUGGUUAACAUUGGUUAUUUUUCCUUUUUCAUUCAUUUCAGCAGCAGAGCUAACUUCCAAAACUGUAACUGGAUUUACUUCAUUAGUUUCCUUUUCGCUCAAUUGAAUAGACUCCUCUAGAACUGUAGCAUCUUUGGUCUCUGAUCCCACAUUCUCUUCAUGUCCAUGUUUGCUAUCAACAUCCAUAUUAUUAUUAUUCACGUCACUCUUCUUUGCUGAUUCCUUCUCUUGAUCAGCGCCUGAUGUCUCGCAUCCCAAAUUACACUCCUCAUCGUAAGAAUGACAUAGUUUCUCUUGUUCACCAUCAUCACCCAUUCUUUUAUCAUCGUCCUCGAUAUUCUUUGUGGAUUCCUUCUCUUGGCUAGCUUUCUUUCCAGCAAUAUCCUCAACUUCACAAUUUACCUUCUCAUCAGAUAUCUCAAUCCCACCAGAGAUUACACUCUCCCCUUCUCCUGCACUUUCAUGACUUUCACCAUGGUUACUCUUAACUUCAGAGUUAGCCAUCUCACCUUUUCUCCCAAUUCCAGGUUCCUCUAUAGCAGCAUCAGUAAGUGCAACAUCAUCAUCAUCAACAACGUUAUCUUUAGUAUCCUCACCAGUAUCCUCAACUUCACAAUUUGUCUUCUCAUCAGAUACCUCAUUCCCACCAGAGGUUACACUUUCAUGACUUUCACCGUGGUUGGUCUUAACUUCAGACGUAGCUGUCUCACCAUUUCUCUCAACUUCGAGAUCCGUGUUAGCAUCAGUCAGUGAAACUUCAUCAUCAACAUUAUCUUUAGGUUCCUCACCACUAACCUCAACAUCAUCAUCAACGUUAUCUCUAAGUUCCUCACCACUAACCUCAACAACAUCAGCAUCAUCAGCGUUAUCUCUCGUCUCCUCACCAUUAACCUCAACAUCAUCAGCUUUCAUUUGUUCCUCAUCAGAAACCAAAUUAUCCGUAUUGCCAUCUUCAGUAGCUAAAACUCCAUUAUUUGGAUCUGCAUCAAUCCCACUAAUACCUGAAUCCGAAACCUGUACCGUGUUUGUAUCUUCGCCUACUAGGGUUUCAGUUCUACCAGCUUCCUCCUCCAUGGACUCAUUGAAAAACUCACUCUCUUCUCUCUGUUCCUCCAUUAAAGAGUAUCUGGGUUGUAGCUGAAGAUCACUCAAUACAUAGACUGAGCUUAAAAUUGCAAAACUUGACAAAUGGGUAUGAAGAGUUCCAGACCCAACAACGAGAAAGAUGAAUUUUUGGGAGUUUACCUCUUAUUAUCUUGUGAGAAUUCGAGUAAAGAAACUCAAAAGGGAAGGGCUUUGAGGUUGAAGAAGCGAAGGGGAUACUCGAAGAGAGAGAAACCUUUAUGAUCCCGUUUAUCGAACCAGCCCAGAAAGUUUUUUUUAUUUCUGACAUAUAUCCCUGAAAGUUUAUCAAGUUUUGUUUUUUAAAUCGAACUUCGAAAUGUGCUGAAAUAACCUUUUUAAUUUGUCGUAAUUGUGCCCUUUGAGUUUGAAAGGUGCUAAAAGAACCUUUUCUUUAUAAAAAUUUAACGCACAACAAAAUCCAUGAAUGGUGUACACAAUAAUGCAUUCCAACCAAGAAUGCAUUUCAUGAUACCAUUCAAACCAAUUUUUUUUUUAUUAACAUUUUUUUAUUAAAAAAAAUGAGAUUUGCGGAUUUAAUCAACAUAUAUAGACAUGAAACACCUUUUAAAACAUUAGUAGUAUUUGCUUACCGUUCCAUAAAUAUCGCAAACAACACUUGUCUCGCAAAUAUAUUUUUUCUAAAUAUUAUAAUUAAACCGUACCGCAUAUUAAACUCAGUUCUCCUGUACAGUCAAAUAUGUUGUCACCAUUCGCACCCUUAGUUAAAAUAAGUUGCCCAUAUAUUGAACAAACUGACUUCUCCCGAUCACUUCACAUAAUAACCAUUACCAUCAAUGUCCUAACAACACUUGGUUUAGUAACAGCAAAUUAAAUGUACAAAAAGGGAACUGUCUCUCUAACCUCCAAGAUAACAGAUACAAUUCUGGAACUUACAUGAUUUCUCAUAUUACACAGCCUAAAUCUCUACCUAAAGGAUAACAACAACAACAAGAAGCAAGCAAGAGCAUCCAAUCCAUUGAGCUACGUCAUCGUUUACUUCUCUUGAUGCAUGCCGAUUCUUUCACCUGAAAUACAAGAUCAACCAUUCUGUUUGAAUCCAAACUCAACUUAGGCAAACAACAACACAAGAAGCAAAGACAUGGCCAUCGUUUAGUCUUCCUAGCUUAUAUCUACGGGAAUAUUAUGCAUAUGUCUCUUCCCAUUCUACCUAUGUUAUUACUACCAUCCACAUUACAAGAAUAAGAAAGAACAUACUAUGCAUUCGGGAAUACAACACACCAGCUUCCAUAUCAGUAGGCUUUAUUUAUAUUUUAAGCAUUCAGCCAAUAAAAGAAGCAGAUUUACCUGAACUAUGAUGGAAGGCAUAUUACUGCAUCCUCUUCACCUAAAGACACAACAUAAGGCUGAACUUUGAAUGUUUCUGUUAUCGUAUAGCUGAGCUCGUAAUUCACCGCUUUCGUCCCAAAAAUACUGAACCUUCCUGCGCUGUUGUAAGCAACUUCGGCAUCAGCACCCUUCCUAUAAACUACUCUAGCCCGUUUAUUUUCCUUGUCAACUUCAGUUUGCGACUCCUUUAUUGGUCCAAAAUGCCUAAACAUUUUACUCAGGCUCUUUUCAGGAGGUAUCGUAUCCACUUCAGAAAACUUCAUUACAAGUUCAGCUGGUGCAUUCUCAUCAAAGUUUGCCGGUUUGUCUGAGACUGAAAGAGGAAUAUUGAUCUGAGUCUGUCGUCUUCUGUAAGGUCGACGAGUCCUUUGAACCUGAGCAGGUUUCAACUCAACUGGCACAACCUGAUAAUUUUCUUUUUCAGUUGGUGAUGUUUGCUCUUCACCACCAUUGUGGAUCACUCUGUCCGUCCAGUAUGUGUCGCCCAUUUCCUCAAACU
rnacentral:lncRNA from 1 species